rnacentral:rRNA from 1 species
UACGUAGGGUGCAAGCGUUGUCCGGAAUUAUUGGGCGUAAAGAGCUCGUAGGCGGUCUGUCGCGUCUGCUGUGAAAACUCGGGGCUUAACCCCGGGCCUGCAGUGGGUACGGGCAGACUAGAGUGCGGUAGGGGAGACUGGAAUUCCUGGUGUAGCGGUGAAAUGCGCAGAUAUCAGGAGGAACACCGGUGGCGAAGGCGGGUCUCUGGGCCGUAACUGACACUGAGGGACGAAAGCUAGGGGAGCGAAUGGG